ensembl:lncRNA
CAUAAUAAUUGGCGAGAUGGGAAAGGUUCACCUGCUCAACAACGUCAAAGAGAAUACGACCGAGUACAGCCUAGUUCGAGUCAAAAGCACAUGGACUUGUAAAGAGAAGCACAGCCACAUCGGGUCGACUGCGUGUGUGUCUCCAGCCAAGAUUUAUGAAACCCUCACAGAAAAAGGCACCAGCUGGACCGUGGUGACCCCCAUCAUCUUCAGCUACAAGGUUACAGAGACGCACGGCCUCCUGGACCCCUGCAACGCCACCCUGCUAACAGGCCACGCCCACGAGCCGCAGACCUCCGCCGACACCCUGAGAAUCCCCUCCAAGCCGAUCAAGCGUUUCGUGGUGGUCGAUCAGGAAGUGUACCGCAUCUACGGCAGCCAGAUCACUAAGUAUUUCGAGGUUAACAAUGUGACAUGUAAGAUUUUAGCUCUGCCCACCACCGAGGAGAACAAGUCGAUGGAGAUGGCCUUGAAGAUCCUCGAGGAACUAAACAGUUUCUCGAUAGACAGGAGAGCAGAGCCUGUGAUCGCGAUAGGAGGAGGGGUCUGCUUGGAUAUCGUGGGUCUGGCGGCGUCUCUGUACCGCAGACGUACCCCUUACAUCAGAGUACCCACUACGCUCCUGUCCUACAUCGAUGCCAGCGUGGGGGCCAAGACUGGGGUGAAUUUUGCAAACUGUAAGAACAAGCUCGGCAGCUAUAUUCCACCAGUCGCCACCUACCUAGACCUGUCCUUCAUAAAGACCAUCCCUCGCAGACAUAUCUCCAAUGGGUUGGCCGAAAUGUUAAAGAUGGCCUUGAUGAAGCACAAGGAGCUGUUUGAACUCCUGGAGAAACACGGCCAACAUCUCCUAGAUUCAAAGUUUCAGUCAGACAGCAGCGUGUUUAGUGUGAGCAGUCAGAGCGCGUCCCGCUCCACACGCCUCGCCAUCGUCACCAUGUUGGAGGAGCUGGCCCCCAACCUGUGGGAGGACGACCUCAACAGACUGGUGGACUUUGGACACGUCAUCAGUCCAGCGCUCGAAAUGAGGGUGCUUCCGUCCUUACUGCACGGAGAGGCGGUGAACAUCGACAUGGCCUACAUGGUGUACGUGUCCCGGGAGAGCGGGCAACUGACGGAGGACGAGAAGAACAGGAUCAUCAGCUGCAUGGUGGGUCUGGAGCUGCCCGUGUGGCACCAGGCCUGCACCAUGGAGCUGAUCCAGAGCUCACUGCAGGACAGACUCAAGCACUCGGGCGGGCUGGUGAGGAUGCCCCUGCCUGUGGGACUAGGACAAGCAGAGAUCUUCAACAACACAUCUUAUGAAGUCUUGACCAGCGCUUAUGAAAAAUGGUGCAAUGAGCGUUCCUGCUGAUGUUGAUGAUGUUUACUGAACUUGUACGUGAAGUUCAGUGGGUGCUAUCGGUUUAUUUUGUCAUUUUUAUUGUAUUUUUUUAAUCAGUAUUUGUAUGUACUGUAAGAUGAAGAGGCGAUAUACAUCAGAAAAGGCUGAUACAGAUUCACAGUUUUGUUAUAUUUUAUUGUAAAUGUUGUUUUUAGAUUGAACGACUGAGUGCUCCAAUUUCUACAGUACUGAACGUUACAGUAUGUCCGUGCUAAAUGAAUACUACAACAAUGGUGGUAUUUAUACAGUAUAUGUGACAGAUAACGCUUUCUGUAUUAAUACAUGUUUCUCAGACUAAACGGGUCAUUAUUAU